CUUAAUUACCUUAAAAACCAUUAAAAAUAUCAUGCUAUGCUAAGUAACAUAGCAUUCAUCGAUGAAGAAGAGAUAAAAACUUGAAACUCUUUCGUAUUUUUUGGUUACAAAAACUCUUUUGUAUUGAUAAAAGUAAAAUGUUAGUACAAUGGAAAGAAAAAUAAAACAGUACAAUUAAUGACAUAUCUUCAAUAUAUAUGCUAUAAUACUAACUAGCUAGCUGACUAAUAUAAGUUCACACAUUAGAGUUUUUAUGCAGCUGGAGCAUAGUCAUAACCACCAUCGUCGUCAUCAUCACCUUCUAUGUAUGCAAUUAGAUGAGCAGAACCUGAAUCUUCAUUCCUAAAGUAAUAAUUUCCUUUAAUACAUAUUGUAGAUGCAUAACCAAACCAAUCACCGUCACAUUCACCAUAUGCAGCAUGAUUGCAUUUUGGAGAAAUAUUGACCAUGGAAAUGGAUGUCAUUUUGGUUGUGAGGUUGGCUAUGUUAAAAGUGUGUGAUUAAAAGAAGAAAAUGGAAUUAAUUAGCAAUAUAUGAUAUGCUAGGGUACACAAGAAGUUGUGUGAGUUGAGUUAGUAUUGGAGAGUUUGUGUGAUAUAUAUAACAAGAAGAGAACUUGUUGGAGUUGUUCUCCCUCCUCCAACAAGCAAACCACACAGGAAGUGUGUAAUAUUGCUUCAGGUGUGUGCAUCGCUCAUUGCUUGCUUGUGUAAUAUAAUGGGAUCUUGUGCAGCCACAUUGGCAAAAUUGUCUUUACAAUUCAGCAUACACGUUGGAAGAAGCAGCAUAGAUUCAAGAAUUAAUAUUGACAAAAUAGAAUGUUUGAGUGGAUGCUUAAUGGUUGUAGAACAUAUAAAGUGUUGAAUGUAGAAAGUGGAACGACAUGUUGUCAUUUGAUGAUAUUCUUUGCAAGCCAAUGACGCGGCUACGAGAGUAAUAAUUUUGCUUGGAUCAUAUUGAAUUUUGGGGAUAUUAUAAAUUCUUAUAACACUAUACACUCAAGAAGUCAAGGGCGAAAAACUCUCAAACUUUUGGGUCAAGAGUGAAAUUCAAAGGAUUAUCCACAUUUGAACCAAAAUAUUUCAUACAUUUGGAUUCUUUGUUAGACACUACAACUUAACUCAAAACCUUUAGACAUUCAAUUUAUGAAUUCUUUCAAUUCAGAGGAUUAUCCAACACAAUAAUGACGUGAUGAUGCCUCUAGCAACAAUGUUUAGAAAAUGUUUACUUUUUGUUUUAGUCUUUUAGUUUAUUCUUUUACUGGUAAAAAUAUAAAAUAAAAAUGAAUAAAUUGGUGCAGGUUGUGCAAAUUCGUCAAAAGAGUGUGUCAUGCCAUAUAGCACAACUCUAUAUGCAUCAUUAUCUUUCUUUCAUCAAACUCGAUUUAAAUAGUGUUUGUGUGGACUUUUAAUAAUAGGUUGGUAGGUCUAAAUUCACCGUUCUCAAAUUUAAGAUUUAUAAGUGUGUUAUUCAAUAUUUUUAAAAUUAUGUUUGAGUUCAAAAACAAUAACAUGAAAAUAUGGAUAAGUAAUCAUGUUUGAUGUCAUAAGCAUUUUUAGACCUAUCACCUUCUUGUUAAAUGAUCCAUAAAUAUUUUUUAAAGAAGUUGGAAGAAAAAAGGGUAAUAGUGCAAAUAUUCUAUGAUUUAAAGGAUCAAUUUGUAACAGAAAAACUUCAAAAAAUUAACUUAUUAUAAACAUCUAAUUUAAAGGACCAUAAGAGAUAUUUGACCACAAUUUUUUUCUUCAUUUUUUUCAAGUUAUUUUAACAGCUAAUUUUAUUAAAGGCUACAAAUUUAAUCCACUUGUCUCCUAUUCAUAUACUACCAACUACCAACUAGUUUAUCAACCAUUCUUACUUUUUUACCAAACAAGUUUCAAUGGGCUAUUGCGAGAGUUUUUUCCCCUUGGGUGAUUGGAAAAGCUAGAGCACAAGUAAGGCUACCCUAAAAUGAGGAAUCUAUGAAGUCCCGAUACUUCAAAAUGGAUGACGUACCGUAUCCCUUGCGUAUCCUGCACCGAUACCUACCUGAUACUUCCCGAUACGUAUCAAAAGAGUAUCCGAAGAUUAAAUUUUAUUUUUAAAAAAAAAUAAUUAUCUGAUACUUCCCGAUACGUAUCAGGAGAGUAUCCGAUCAUUAUCCUACACAGGUAUCUGCCCUGAUACUUCCCAAUUAAUGUUAACUAAAAUAACUUAACUCUUGAUUACUGAUGUGUUCUUUUUUAAUAUAGUGUUUCUUUUUUAGAUCGAUAUAGUAUAACACUAACAAUGUUCCUUUUGGAUAUAAUAUAACACUGAUGAUGCUCUUUUUAGGAUAUAUUGUGUAUGUAAUUGGCUAAUAAUCAAUCUCUUAAUCGUCAAUAUUAUUUAUAUUUAUUUUGAUGUGCUACAAGCCGAUGACUGAUUUAUGUUGUUUGUUAAUAUAUUUUCAUAUUAAAAAAAUGGUAUAAUUAUAUUGUACAUUUAUAUAUAUAAUUUUUUUUAUUAACGUAUCUCAACCGUAUCGUAUCUUGAUUUUUGAAAUUUUUCCGUAUCGGCGUAUCGGUGCAGGUGCAGUAUCAUAUCUGUAUCGUAUCUCGUAUCCGGACUUCAUAAGAACGAAUCAAAAUACGAUAACGUAAAUAAAAGAAAAACAAAAGCAUCACACGUGUUUGAACAAGUUGUAAUAAUUACACCAAACAGUCCAAAGAAUCAUUAAAACCAAAAACAGCAAAAAUGACAAAACAUAAAGGACAUAGACUAACCAAUAAAAAUUCCUAGCUAAAUGAAUUCACUCAAACAUUAUAUGCAUCCACUCAAACAUUCUAUUUUGUCAAUAUUCUUGAUUCUUUGCUGCUAUUUCCAACAUUUAAGCUGAAUUGUAAAGACAAUUGCCAAUGUGGCUGCCCAAUAUGCCAUUACACAUGCAGGCACGUAGCAAAGCUCACACCUUAAGUAAACAUACACACUUCUUGUGUGGUUUAAUUGUGGUGGAAUAACUCAACAAGUUCUCUUCUAGUUAUAUAUAACACAAAACUCUCUAAUCCUAACUCAACUCACACAACUAUCUUAGCAUAUCAUAUAACUAAUUCCAUUUUCUUCUUUUUAACAUACACUUUUCACAUAGCCAGCGUAAAAACCAAAAUGGCAUCCAUUUCUUUGGCCAUUAUUCCAAAGUGCGAGCAGCAUGGAUAUGGUGAAGGUAACGGUGAUUGGAUUAGUUAUACAUGUGUAUCUUGCAUUGAAGAAAAUUAUCACAAUGGAGAUCGAGACUCAUGCAAAGAAGGCGAUGAUGACGAUGAUGGUGGUUACGACUAUGCUCCAGCCGCCUAAAACACUAAUGUGUUAACUUACAUUAGUCUUCUAGUUAGGAUAUUUACAGCAUAUUGAAGAUAUAGUUAGUAGUCGUUUAAUAAAGUUCGAAAUUAGAACUUAACAAGUUUAGUGCCUAUAAAUAGGUUUGAUGUCAUUAUAAUUGUACUGCUUUUUUCCGUUUCUAACAUUUUACUUUUAUCAAUACAAAAGAGUGUUAAGUUUUGAAUAAUGAUACUUGGCACAAAAAUAAUUUCGCGUAAAACACACGAGUUAGUAUGUAGCUCACACAUGUUCCAUUUUAAUUCCAACUCGCUUCAUGCAUUAAUAGGAUUCGCGACAGUUGUGGUGCCUCCAGUGGAGAAAAUUCCUUAAUCACCGUGACUAAAAAGAGUUUAUUUUAACGUCAGGCGUGAUUAUCAGUUUGUAACUGAGGAAGAAAUUUGUAAAUCUGCAUAAAAGAAUCCAAACCACAUUUCCCAUCUCAUCUCAUUCCCUUGUUCUCAGUCAUAAAUUAUGUAAAAUUAAUAGACUUAUUUGGUUUCAAACUUGAACAAUGCAUAAGCGCUAGCAAAAAAGUUUCUCUAUAUAGUUUUUUUUGGGACUGUGUCAUCAAUUUCACUUCAAUGGUUAUUUGAUUUCUCGUUUUUACUUGAAAUGUUUUAUUCGUCAAGGUGUUGGGAUUAAGGUUGGUGGAUGAAAUUAUGUACUUAUGUUGCAGAGGUGGUCAUGACACAGGUUACACAUGCCAAAUUUCAAAAGUGACUACGUGCGACAUGUUGUGGUGGCUAAAAGGGCCCAUAACUUGUACGUUUAUAAGUCUGUGAGCUUCUUUCAGUGUGUCAUCCACCGUUCAUGCCUUUUGUGCGAAAAAUAUAUUCGCAACAUACACCCCUCCUCAAAUAAUAAACACACAAACUAAGUCGUGCAAUUUGCACGAAAAAACUUGUCGUCCACUUUAUCAUUUCCUGUUUUUCAAUUAGGAUAAAAGGAUAAAAUUAAGAAAAAUAUAUACAUCAUUGCGUCUCCUUUGACUCGAUUUGCGUCGCCACUAUGUGUACUAGGGUUUAGGUUUCUAUGCUUUAUGUUGUUUCGUGUGUACAGUGCUUUAAACAAUAUUUGGAUUUUUACCUUCUCUAUAAAUUUAUCCGGUCUUCAACCUUAGAAAUAUUAGCUAUUUUCCAGUUUAAAAAAUUUGUUACGCUCUCAAUUAUAAAAUUCAAAAAGGAGUCAUUUUUGUUUUUGAAAACAAAACGAAUUCGGAUUCCUCACCGACGAAAACAAAAAUCCUCACCAUCUCACUUGAAACACAAAUCCUCACCGUCUCACUAUGGUUAAUUUGUUUCCAGUUCGAUCACAGUUCGAAAUCUUUACCAAAUAGUUACUGUUUCCUCUUUCACCUGUUCCUAGUUCAAAAUCUUUUUCUUCCUUCUUUAAUCUUCAUCUUCCACCAUUUUUAAGAAGAAAAAUCAACACUAAAGGGUAAUGAGAGAACCGGAAGAAGUUGCAUUUUGUAGCAUUGAAGUUGGAAGAUGACACGACUCACUCUCAUUACUUUGUUUUCUCACUCAGCUUUUUCUAUAUGGCGUGUACAAUUAAUAAGAACAAAAUAACGAAUGAUGGUAAAAGUAUUUUUCUUUCCAAAUUAAAGAUUCUCUUUGCAAUGUUUGUUUAUGUUAUUUUCCCCUUCAGUUUCCUUUAUAGUAUACCUGAACACUACUAUCCUAAAAUCGCAUUAUAAUUUUUUUUGUCGCUGCGGUAAGCACACUGAAAUUCAUGCACACAAUUGUUGGUUCCUGAAUUUGAAUUUGGAAGAAUGUGUCCAACUUAGCAAUUUUAACAUUAUAUACAUCAGCUAUUUUAAUAUAUAAAAAAAAUCAUCAAAUGACAUGUGAUAGAAUUUCGCACUUAUGAUUUUCAACAAUGAUACAUCGACACUCCAAUUUCCUGAGCACUCAUUCACAUCUAUUUCUCUCUAUCUCUUUUCCUAUCAUAUCACCAAUUGAUCAUGCCACUUUUUUAUACCUUUCUCUCUCAAUCCCUUUUCUUAAACUGAUCAUCAUGUUUUAAACUGCGGUUCGUAUACAAUGCAAACAAAUUAAACAGAUACAGGCCACAAUCACCUUCAAAACUAAAAAACUAUCAUGAUAUGCGAAGAAACAUGGAUGAAUUAAGAAGAGAUAAAAACCUAACACUCUUGCAUUGAUAAAAAGUAAAAUGUUACAUAUGAAAAAGAAAAAGAAAAGUAGUACUACAAUUAAUAGUUAAGUACUAAUUUUUAACUAUAUUAAACGACUACUAACUAUAUCUUCAAUAGGCUUUGAUAUUAACUACUAUACUUAUGUAAGUUAACACAUUAGAGUUUUACGCAGCGGGAGCAUAGUCAUAACCACCAUCAUCGUCAUCAUCGCCUUCCUUGUAAGAAUCUUGAUCCCCAUUGCGAUAAUCUUCUACAAUACAAGAUACAGAUGUAUAACCAAACCAAUCACCGUUGCCUUCACCACAUGCAUUCUGCUUGCACAAUGGAGCAAUGACCGUGAAAAUGGAUGCCAUUUUAGUUUUGAAGCUGGCUAUGGGAAGAAAAUGAAUUAGCUAUAUUGGAUGCUAAGUUAGUUGUGUGAGCUGAGUUAGGAUUGGAGAGUUUGUGUGUUAUAUAUAUAACUAACAAGAAGAGCUGUUGUUGGAGUUGUUUGUUCUAUCACAAGUAAACCACACAAGAAGUGUGUGUGUGUUUGCUUAAGGUGUGAGCAUGGCUCGAUGCCUGCAUGUGCAAUGGGAUCUUGUGCAGCCACAUUGGCAAUUGUCUUUACAAUUCAGCUUACACGUUGGAAAAUGCAGCAUAGAAUCAAGAAUAACCAAAUAGAAUGUUUGAGUGGAUGCAUAUAAUAGUUGGGAACAUAUAAAAUGUUGUCAUUUCAUGAUGUUCUUUGGAAGUCAACAAUCCAGCGACGAGAGUAAUAAUUUUGCUUGGAUCAUAUUUAAUUUUGGUGAUAUUACAACUUGAUAAACACUAUACACCCAAGGGGCAAAGACUCUCAAACUAUUGGGUUAAGAGCGGAGUUCGGAGGAUUAUCCGCAUUUGGACCAAAUCAUUUUAUUCACUUGAAUUCGUUGUCGAGUAAUAAAUUCAAAGACAAUACAACUUAACUUAAUCUUUAGACAUUCGACUUAUGAAUUCCCUCAAUUCAGAGGAUUAUCCGCAACAAUAAUGACGUGACGAUGCCUCUAGCAACAAUGUUUAAAAAAUGUUUACUUUUUGUUUUAGUCUUUAAUUUAAUCUUUUACCGGUGAAAACGAUAAAAUAAAAAUGAAUAAAUUGGUGUAGCCAUGCAGGUUGUACAAAUUCGUCAAAAGAUGGUGUCGUUCCAUAUAGCACAACUCUUGAAAAAAUUAAACAUUAAUUAGGUUGGUAUGCAAAUUGAUCCUUUAAUUUAGAAAAUAUAUGCAUUAUUAUCUUUUUUUUUUUCAUCAAACUCGGUUAAAUAGUGUUUUCAUGGAAGUUUAAUGUUAGGUUGGUAGGUCCAAAUUCACCGUUCUCAAAAUUAGUAUUCAUAUGUAUAUUUUCAGUCUUGAUUUGAAAGAAAAAUGAUAGAUUGCUCGAUUUAUAACAUUGCUAAUGAAAUAUUUAUCUUUAAAUUUAGGCUUGAAUUCAAAAACAAGAAAAUGAAAAUGUUGGUAAUUAAGUAAUCAUGUUUGAUGUCAUAAGCAUUUUUAGACUUACCACCUCCAUUUUUUUUAAGAAAGACUUACCACCUCCAUGUUAAAUGAUCCGUAAACACUUUUUAAUCAAGUUGACGGAAAACAUGGUAAUAAUUUCAAUAUUUUAUGAUUUAAAUGACCAAUUUAUAACAAAAAAAAAAAAAAAAAAAACUUAAAAUGAAGGGUCGACCAUUCUUACUUUUUUACCAAACAAAGUCUCAAUGGGAUAUUGUGAGAGUUUUUGCCCCUUGGGUGAUUGGAAAAGCUAGAACACAAGUAAGGGUCCCGUACCUUAAAAUGAAGGAAUCAAAAGACGAAAAAAGAAAAACAAAAGCAUCACACGUGAAAAUUGACAAAACAUAAAGGCCUUGGACUAACCAAUAAAAAUUCCUAGCUAAAUGAAUCGAUUAACUUGUCAUUCCACUUUCCACAUCCAACACUUUAUGCUGUAUGUUCCCAACAAUUAUAUGCAUCCACUCAAACAUUCUAUUUUGUCAAUAUUCUUGAGUCUUUGCUUCUUUUCCAUACGUGUAUAUAUGCUGAAUUGUAGAGACAAUUGCCAAUGUGGCUGCACAAGACCCCAUAUUACACAUGCAGGCACGUAGCCAUGCUCAUACCUUAAGCAAACUUACACACUUCUUGUGUGGUUUGCUUGUGUUAGAACUACUCAACAACUUCUCUUCUUGUUAUAUAUAACACACAAACUCUCCAAUCCUAACUCAAACACAGCUCAACUCACACAACUACCUUAGCAUAUCAUAUAACUAAUUCCAUUUUCUUCUUUAUAACAUACAUUUUUUAACAUAGCCAGCGUAAAAACAAAAAUGGCAUCCAUUUCUUUGGCUAUUACUCCAAAGUGCAAGCAUCAUGGAUACAGUGAAGGUAACGGUGAUUGGUUUGGUUAUACAAGUGUAUCUUGCAUUAAAGAAGAUAAUCGCAAUGGAGAUCGAGACUCAUGCAAGGAAGGUGAUGAUGACGAUGAUGGUGGUUACGACUAUGCUCCCACUGCCUAAAACUCUAAUGUGUUAACUUACAUUAGUCUUCUAGUUAGGAUUAUAGCAUAUUGAAGAUAUAUAUAGUCGUUUAUUGUUCGAAUUUAGUACUUAACUAUUUGUUUGUUAGUGCCUGUAAAUAGGCUCGAUGUCAAAAGAGUGUUAAGUUUUGAACAAUGAUACUUGGCACGACAAGAAUCUCGCACAAAACACACGAGUUAGUAUGUAGCACACUUAGGUUCCAUUUUAAUUCUAACUCAAAAUAACUCGCCUCAAGCAAUAAUAGGAUUUGCGAUAUCUGUGGUGCUUCUGACUGUGGAGGAAAUUCCUUAAUCACCAUGACUAGACAGAGUUUAUUUUAACGUCAGGCACGAUUAUCAGUUUGUAACCGAGGUAGAAAUUUGUAAAUCUGCAUAAAAGAAUCCAAACCACAUUCCAUUAUUCUCAGUCAUAAAUUCUGUAAAAUUAAUAGACUUAUUUGGUUUCAAGCUUGAACAAUUAAUGCAUAAGAGCUAGCAUAAAAUGGUUUCAAGCUUGAACAAUUAAUGCAUAAGAGCUAGCAUAAAAGUUUCCCUAUAUAUUUUUUCUUUGGACUGUGUCAUCAAUUUCACUUCAAUGGUUAGUUGAUUUCUCGUUUUUAUUUGUCAAGGUGUUGGGAUUAAGAUUGGUGGCUGCAAUUACGUCCUUACGUUGCAGAGGUGAGGUGUUAAUAAUGACACAGGUUGCACAUGCCAAAUUUCAAAAGUGACUAGGUGUAACUUGCUGUGGUGGCUAAAAUGGCCCACAACUUGUGGGUUUAUAAGUCUGUAAGCGCUGAAGCUUCUUUCAGCGCGUCAUCCACCGUUCGUACAUUUUGUGCGAAAAAUAUAUUCGCACCAUUUAGCACUCCACAAAUAAUAAGCACACAAACUAAGUCGUGCAAUUUGCACAAAAAACUUGUCGUACACUUUAUCAUUUCCCUUUUUCAAUUAGGAUACAAGGAUAAAAUUGAGAAAAAUAUAUACAUCAGUGUGCCUCCUUUGAUUCGAUUUGUGUCGCCGCUCUGUGUACUAGGGUUUGGGUUUUUAGGCUAUCGGUCGGUUCGUGUGUACACAACUUUAAAAUAAUAUAUAUUUGGAUUUCUACCUUCUCUAUAAAUAAACCAAGACCAUAACUAUAGCUUUAUCCGGUCUUCAACCUCAUAAAUAUCAGUUAUUUUCCCGUUGAAAAAAUAUUGCUAUGCUCUUAAUUAUAAAUUCCAGAAGGAGUAAUUUUUGUGAUUGAAAACAAAAUAAAUUCUAAUUUUAUUUAAAAAAAAUCUCUGAAAGUUAUUCUCUUAUAAAUUAUUGAACAUCAAAAUCAUGUUUCUUAUAAGGAAAAUGCUAACCUGUAAUACCUGCGGAAUUACCUAAGGAAACGUCCAAAUAAUAUUCCUCAAUAGUUCCGCAGGAAAAUCCUCAGCAAUUUUAAAGUUACCUGCGGAUUUUCCUGUGGGAUCCGGAUUCGCAGGAUACUUCGUAUGACUAACAUUAUCCGCAGCAAAAUCCUCAGGUAUUCCUGUGGAUUGUUUUCCGCAUAAAAAUACGUAGGAAAAUCGAGAGUUUCAAGUAGUGCAAAUGAAUUGUAUUUGAGAUAAAAAUUAAGUUCGUGACAAAAUUUGAUAAACUUGAUUUAUUUAUAAUUCAAUCAAUUUUAUUCAUGAGUUUGUUCCAUAGUGUGUUAUACUUAAAAAAAUAAAAAAUAAAAAUAUAAUUGAUUUGACAUAUAUGUUGUCUGACUAAGGGAAAGUGCAGCAUUCCUGCGGAUAAUUUUUCGCAUGGAAAUCCGCAGGAAAAUGAGAGUUUCUAGUAGUGAUAAAAUACUUUAUGUUAGUUGAAUAUGUUUGUGAUUGAUAGAUUUUUAUUUUAUAUGUUUUUAUGUAUAUUGUUGAUGGCCAUUUUGUGUAUCAACCCGUUAAAUUAUUAAUUUAAAAUGUUAAAGAUCUUUUUUUUAUUUUUUAAGCUCUGUGAUUUAAGCUAACGAACUUAGUUGAAUUGGUCGUGAAUUUAAUACGAGCCGAGUAUGAACUAAAAGAAAGCCCUAUAUAGAACUUGAGUUGAGUUUUAAGCUGAAAUAAUUUCUAUCAAGUUUAAUCAAGUUCGAUUCGACUCACUUUCAAGCCAACCAUUUUUCCUCAACAUACUUAUUAUUUUAUUUUUUUUAAAUAUCUAUUUUACAUUUAUUAUUGACUUAGUUUUAAUAUUAAUAUUAAUUGGCGUUUAAGUUUUUGAAAGUUAUGCCAGUAGCUAAAGAGUGGUCCUUGUGAGCUUAUAUAUGCAAGGUCUGGGGUGCAAACCUCGGCCACCACAGAAGAAAAAAAAAGAAAAAAAAAAGUAGCGAGAGAGUGAAAUAAAAUACAAUGAAUUUUGUCUGCAAUUCAGCAAAAGGACGUAUUUUCUAUUUUAUAUUAUCUUCGUUUCUUUGAAUACCAAUCAUGUUCUAAAUUGUGGUUGUGAUAUACAAUGCAAACAAACAAGUGACUAAAAUAUCAUACCUAAUACUAUAUCAUGCCUAAUACUAAAAUAUUGUAGAGAAAUGCAAAACAAACGCAGCCUAUACAGCCACAAUUACAGUUGCAAUGUCAUUGCAAAGACCUUUAAACUAAAACCAUUAAAACUACCAUGGCUAAUACUAACAAGCAGUGACUAAAAUGUAAGUUAGCACAUUAGAGUCUUAUGCAGCGGGAGCGUAGUCAUAACCACCAUCAUCGUCAUCAUCACCUUCCAUGUAUGUAACUAGAUCAGCAGAACCUGAAUCUUCAUUCCUAAUGUAAUAAUUUCCUUUAAUGCAUACUGUAGAUGCAUAGCCAAACGAAUCAACAUCACAUUCACCAUAUGCAGCAUGAUUGCACUUUGGAGCAGUAUUGACAAUGGAAAUGGAUGCCAUUUUGGUUUUGACGCUGAUUAUGUGAAAAGUUUGUAUUUAAAAGAAGAAAAUGGAAUUAGCAAUAUAUGAUAUACUAGGGUACUAGCUGUGUGAGUUGAGUUUUGAAAUUGAGUUAGAUUAGAGAGUUUGUGUGUUAUAUAACAAGAAGAGUUGUUAUUGGAGUUGUCCUAACACAAGCAAACCAUGCAGGAAGUGUGUAUCUUUGCUAAAGGUGUGAGCAUGGCUACGUGCUAGCAUGUGUAAUGGAAUCUUGUGCAGCCACAUUGGCAAUUGUUUUUAUAAGUCAGCAUGCACGUUGGAAGAAGCAGCAAAUUAAAGAAUCAAGAAUAUUGAAAAAAUCGAAUGUUUGAGUGGAUGCAUAUAAUAGUUGGGAACAUUUAAAGUGUUGGAAGUAGAAAGUGGAACAACAAGUUAAUUGAUUCAGUUAGUCAAUGUGCUUUAUAUAUAUUUUGUUGUUUCUUCUGUUUUUGGUUUGGAAAUGUUGUCAUUUCAUGAUAUUCUUUGGAAGCCAACCAUGCACGAGAGUAAUAAUUUUGCUUGGAUCAUAUUUUAUUUUUGUAGAUAUUAUAUCUUUUUAAAACACUAUACAUAUUCAAGGGACAAAAACUCUCAAACUUCUGGGUCAAGAGUGGAGUUCGGAGGAUUAUAUCCGUAUUUGGACAAAAGUAUUUCAUUCAUUUGCCUUUAUCGAACCAUAUAAUUCAAAGACACUAGAACUUAACUCAAAAUCGUUAGGUAUUUCAUUUAUGGAUUCUCUCACCUCAAUUGUUCAACAUUCAUUUUUUUUGUUCAAAUUUAUUGCUUUAAACUCACCUCGCUAUUAGCAAUACCGCCAACAACACAUUAAAACUCUAUUAAAUAGUAAAUAGCUUAGAGUUGAUAACAUGUUUGCAAGCAGCACUACAAAAUCAGACCUCCAAAAUUUGGGGAUCAAAUAUUUUUUUAUUUUUAUAAUGUAGGUUGAAGUAAGUGUAUAGUAUUAAUGUUUAAAGAUUUCUAAGCUUGCAGAUAUACUUUAGCUGUUGCAAUUUGUGUUGAUCCUUCCAUGGUUCUUGGGUUCAACUCUCAUCUAGGACUAAUUAUUUUUUCUUUUAAUUCUUUUUUUUUUGUUCUUUUGUUUUUGGGUUUUUUUUUUUUUUGUCAAGUAGUCUAGUGACUAGAAUUCACAUUUUUCAAGGUGAAUAAGUGGGGUGUCUGGGGUUCGGGUUCGAACCCCAGCCCCCGCAUAUAAUUAUGCAUGUCCCUGCCAACUGAGCUAUGUUCACGGGAACUUUAUUAACAAACACAUUAGAACCUUUUUUUGUUCUUCUUAUAGUAUAAAAUAGCAAAGCUCUAACAACAAAAUUAUAAUUAUUUUCGUAAAAAAUAAAAUAAAACAAAUGUUAUAAACAUUUUUUUCUCUUUAUAAAAAAUUGAUUUUUUUUUUUAGGGGGCUCUCUUUAUUUUGAGAAUCGGACCACAAAUUUCAUAGGAACGGCUCUGAAUAGAACAUUCACAACAAUUGCAAUCUUUACCUUCCUUCUUUGUUCUUCAUCUUGUACCUUUUAUAAAAAGCAAAAAUCAAACACUAGAAAAAAUGGCCUAGGGUUAUGAGAGAACCGACAAGAAGUUGCAUUUUGUAGCUUCGAAAUUGGAAGAUGGCAGUGGCACGACUCACUCAAUCACAAUUUUGUUUUCUCACUCACUUUUUUCAAUAUGGCACGUACAAUAAGAACAAAACAAUUAAUGAUGGUAGUAAUAUUUUUCUUUUGCAUUUUACCCCUGAAAUUUAUUAUUAUUUCCAAAUUAAAGACUCACUUUGCAAUAUUUAGUUAUGUUUUUUACCCCUUCAUUUUCUUUUCUCACAUACCUUAACACUUAACUAUCCCAAAAUCACAUUAUAAUUAUUUUUUUCGUUGGUGGUAAGCAUCACUGAAAUUCAACCAAACAACUAUGAAUUCUUGUGUUUGAACUUGGAGGAUUGUGUCCAACGUAACAAUUUUGACAUUGUCGGUUAAGAUAGGCUCUACUCUAUGGACAUUACAUUAUCUAUUUCACUUAUAAAAAAUAAAAAAAAUAUUAAAUGACAUUCGAUAGAAUUUCACACGUAUAAUUUCCAACAAUGAUACAUCAGCACUCCAAUUUUUUUAACGCCCAUUAAACAUAUAUUUUCUCUCUUUCUCUUUUAUUUUCUUCAUAUCCUCAUAAUUCCUUCCACCUAUUUGACACUCACCGAAAAUUAUUUAAUAAAUAAUAAUAAUUUUCAUUAUCAUUAAAAUACUUUUUUUUCAUUCUUUUAAAAAUAAGUCAUUUUUUUAAAUAAAAUAAAUUUAUUAUUUAUAAUAGCGGUGGUGGUGGGAGGUUGUUGAUAGUCGGAGUUCCUUUGUAUUAGUCGUCGACCGUCCGCUAUUAACCAUCAAAGAGGGGUGGUUUAGGGUCAAUUUUUGACCCCAAAUCACCCGUUUUUCUCCUUCCCUUUUAUUUAAAUAAGUGAUUUUUACAUCGAAUUAGGUUUUUCUUUCGUGAUUUCGUCGUCUUAGUGCGACGUUGUUUUGUUUGUCGUCUUUGUGCGACGUUUGUCUUUUCCCUCUUGUUCAGGUGUUUGUUCAGAUUAGAUUGUCAGAUCAUCUUCGAUCCAGUGCAGAUCCAACCAAUGACUUUGGCGUCAUCAACGUUGCAGAUCCGGAGGCAUGACUAUUUCGGAGAUUUUAAUAUAGUCAUAUUUAUAGGCUUAUGUACUUUGUUGUUUUAUGCUAUUAACAUGGAUGUUGUGAGUUUGUUCACAUGUUCAUCCUUUUUGUUUUUAGCGAAUUUGUAUUGCAUCGAUGUACUCUAUCAAUUUGAAUGAAUGAUGUCGUUUGUUUUUUGUCAAAAAAAGAAGUAUGUGUAUCUAUUUAACGGGUGUUUAUGUAUCCCUGUUUAAAAAUAUCACAUUUAAAAUAAAAAUAAAAAACUAUUUUUGAAACUUUUAAUUUAUUUGUUAUGGAUUCUUAGAAAAUAAAUAAUCUAAAAAUUGUUUUGAAAUAGAAGAUGUUUUAAAUAGCUUCUCUUAAAAAACCUUUUCUAUGAUUGAUUAAUUAAAAAAAAAAAAAAACAGAGUGAUUUUCGUUUUGACAAACAAACGCAAAUUAAAUUUUAAAAUUAUUGUACAUCAAAAUCACUUUUAGUGUAAUAUAGAUAAUAAAUAGAUCCUUAUUCAUCCAAUCCAAAAACUUGCAAAAAAGUUUAAAUGGGUAUGAGCCAUUACACAGGACAAUGGUUGAAACUAUCAGUAUAUGUGUUUAGGCUCGCCAUUCCCUUCAAAUGGUAAAGUAACAUUAACAUUGACCCUCUAACAGACGUUUGACAGGUUUUGUUUGCGAGUUUGAAGGGAGGGGGGAGAGGACUUUAGAAGAAAAAAAGUUAAGGAGAAAAUGGAAGAAAUAUAUUACUUUAGAAUGGUAGUGGUUUGAGGGGUUCAUUUUCUUCAUAAUACAAAAUCUUCCUAUUUUAGGGGAAUUGAAAAAUUGUAUUUGAAUGUUUGCAUGAAUUCUUCAAAUUCAAUCUUGUUAUAAUAUUCUUGAAAUUCAACAGAUGAGAAAAUUCCUUUGUUUUUAAGAGAUGUACUUUUUAGGGAUCGUCUAGGAUUGCCCAAUUUUUUAUUCCCUUAACUCUUUUUUUAUGUUCUUCUAGUCUUUUAUUUCGUUUGUUUUGCGUUCGGCACAACCCCCGACUCUUUCUAUUUCUUUUUUUAUUAGUAAUAUUUUAUUUUGAGUAUGCUUGUAUUUGAUUUGGAGUAUUAUAGAUGAGCGCAGAGUGCUUUUAAAUAUUUAAAUACAUUAAAAAUCAUCAUAUAUAAUAGAGUAAUUUGAUAGUGGAUACCUUUUAUUAAAAAUGCCAAACCCAAAAGAAUGAAAUAAAAGGUUGUGUUCUUGUUCUGCUUGUCAGAAUAAAGACACACUCUUUUCUCUUUAAUAACUAUCUCCGUUUCUUUUGAUACUGAUCAUCAUGUUCUAAAAUACGGUUUGUAUACAAUGUAAAUUUUGACAUUGUAGAAAAAUGCAAACAAAUGCAACCGAUACAGGCCACAAUAACCUUUAAAACAUCAAAACUUAACACUUUUUUGUAUUCAUAAAAGUAAAAUGUUAGAAAUGGAAAAAAGUAGUACAAUUAUAAUGACAUCGAGCCUAUUAAAUAGGCACUAACAAACUAAUAGUUAAGUACUAACCAACAGACUAUUAGCAUAAACAAAAGAAGAGACACAAGAUACUUAGCUUGCGCCACAAGUUACAUUUUAGUAGAUUUACAUUUCAUUGCAAUUUGAAUGUAAUUUCGAACUAUAUUAAACGACUAUUAACUAUAUCUUCAAUAUGCUAUAAUACUAACUAGUGACUUAUGUAAGUUAACACAUUAGAGUUUUAGGCAGCAGGAGCAUAGUCAUAACCACCGUCAUCGUCAUCAUCGCCUUCCAUGUAAGAGUCUCGAUCUCCAUUGCGAUAAUCUUCUUCAAUGCAAGAUACAUAUGUAUAACCAAACCAAUCACCAUUACCUUCAUCAUAUCCAUGCUCCUUGCACUUUGGAGUAAUGGCCAUAGAAAUUGAUGCCAUUUUGGUUUUGACGCUUGCUAUGUAAAAAGUGUAUGUUGGAAAAGAAGAAAAUGGAAUUAGUUAUAUGAUAUACACUAAGGUAGUUGUGUGAGUUGAGUUGUGUUUGAGUUAGGAUUGGAGAGUUUGUGUGUUAUAUAUAACAAAAAGAGUGUUGUUGGAGUUGUUCUAACACAAGUAAACCACACAAGAAGUGUGUAUGUUUGCUUAAGGUGUGAGCAUACCUCAGUGCCUGCAUGUGUAAUAGAAUCUUGUGCAGCCACAUUGGCAAUUGUCUUUACACAUUCAGCUUACACGUUGGAAAUAGCAGCUAAGAAUCAAGAAUAUUGACAAAAUAGAAUGUUUGAGUGGAUGCUUAAUGGAUGUAGAACAUAUAAAGUGUUGGAUGUAGAAAGUGGAUUUUUUUAGCUAGGAAUUUUUAUUGGUUAGUCAAUGGCCCUUUAUAUUUUGUCAUUUCUUCUGUUUUUGGCUUGAUGAUUCUUUGGACUGUUUGCAGUAUUACAACUUGUUCAAACACGUGUGAUGCUUUUUUUUUUUCAUUUUGAUUCCUUCAUUUUAAAGGCACGGGACCCUUGUGUUCUAACUUUUCCAAUCACUCAAGGGGCAAAAACUCUCACAAUAGCCCAUUAAGAAUUUGUUUGGUAAAAUAGUAAGGAACAUUUGAUAAACUGGUUGAUAAUAUAUGAGAUUAGAACAUCCACAAAGGAGAUAUCCAUUUCUUAGUACUUAAAUGGAUCCCUCAUUUUUAUAUAGAUAAAGCAAGAGUAUGAACUUAAACUAAAGUAGUAAUAGACAUCUCAACUAGGUUUGCAUCCCUAGAACCACGCAUCCCUUUCAAGCAUACUUAAAAUUUAUUAAAAAAGAUAAAGAACGAGUUAAAGAAAUUGGCAAUUACACAAUUAUAGGUGAUCCGUAAAACAAUACGUCUCUUAAAAACAAAGGAAUUUCUUCAUUCAUUGAAUUUACCCAAACCAUAACAUCCUCAGUCGAAAAUGCAACACCCUUAAUGCUCCAAAAUAGAAACAUAUAAAGUGAAACGACAAGUUGAUUGAUUCGUUUUGCUAUAAAUUUUUAUUGGUUAUUCAAUGGCCUUUUUAUAUAUGUUUUGUUUUUUUUUUAUAUGUUUUGUUGUUUCUUUUGUUUUUGGUUUGGAAUAUUGUCAUUUAAUGAUAUUCUUUGGAAGCCAAUGACGCGGCAACCAAAUAAUUUUGCUUCGAUCAUAUUUAAUUUUGGGAUAUUAUAACUUUUUAAAAGACUAUGCACUCAACUCAAGGGGGUAAAAACUCUCAAACUUUUCUAUCAAGAGUAGAGUUCUGAGGAUAAUCCGCAUUUGGACCAAAUUAUUUCAUUCACUUGGAUUCUUUGUCGAAUCAUAUAAUUCAGAGACACUAUGAUUUAACUCAAAAUAUUUAGGCAUUCGAUUUAUGAGUUCUCUCACCACUAUGUCCAACAUUCAUUUUUUAAUCCAAUUUAUGGCUUCAAACUUACCUCGCACUUAGCAAUAACACCAACAACACAUUAAAACUCUAUUAAAUAGCAAAUAGCUUAGAGUUGAUAACAUAACUUUAUAUACAGUUGAUAGCAGAUAAACAAAGACAACGACGUCGGAAGCAAUUAGAACAUUGGCAACAACUGGAAUCUUUGCCUUCCUUCUAUAAUCUUCAUCUUGCACCUUUUUUAAGAAGCAAAAAUCAAUACUAGAAAAUGGCUUAAGGGUUAUGAGAGAACCGACAAGAAGUUGCAUUUUGUAGCUUCAAAGUUUGAAGAUGGCAUGACUCACUCGAUCACAACUUUGUUUUCUUUCAAUACUAGUUACAAACCCGUGCGUUGCACGGGUUUAAUAACGUAUUUUAUAAAAAAAAAUCUUUUAAAAAAAAAAUGAGCAAAUUAAUGAAUAUUGUACAAACAUUAUAAAUCUUUAUCAAAAUAUUUAUGAAAGCUUUAUCAAGUCUUUAAUACACAUUAAUAUUUGUGAUGAUUGAUAAAAGAAUUAAAAAGAGUAAAGGGUAUAGAAAUAAAUUUAUUAAAGAAUUAACAAUUUGUUUAAACUUAUUUUUGUUACAAUUUAGACCAAAAAAAAUAUUGGACUUCAUUGAGUUUCUCUAUAAUUUUUUUAUCAGGCUUGAAGUUAUGACUCUGAGUUUGAAAACCGCAAAAUUCACAAAAAUUAUUGAAGAAACACUAUAAACAAAUAAACGGCAUCGUCAAAAAUGAAAUCAUAUUUGGCUAUAGUGAUCAAGCAAACAAAAAAAAAGAAGCAUAUUAAAUACCUAUAAUCAAUGGAUUCUAAUUGCAUAGAGGCGACACUUAUACUUUCUCUAUGUUUGUUCAUCAAUGAGAGUGAUUAUUUUGCGCUUUCCUUUCAGAAUUGUUCUUGACACCUAGUUUGGGAAAUGCUAAACAGGGAAAUAACUGUAAUAUUAAUCUAAUGCAUAUUAACAUGGAUAAGAUGUAUGCGAAUAUAGUUAUAUAUAACUUAUGAAAUGAAGGUAACAUAACUGAUUUUAAGCUAAAGAAAAUGUACCAUGACUUCUAAUUUAUCUUUCUAUUAUCUUCCUAUAAAGUCUAGAGAAAUGCAUGCAUGUGCAUUAUAUGUACCCCGUUGACCAAUUAACAUUUUUGAAACAAAUGAAAAUUAAGCAUCACUCCCGCAUGUGCAUCUAUAGCUAACACCAUUUGACAUUGAUGUCUUCGAACAUUUGGUGCAACUCUCAUAAUACCAUCCAAACUGGUUAGGAUUGAAUUUAGUUGUUUUUCCAAAUAGUGAUGGAGUAUGUAUCCUAACACAAAUUAUGCACGUGAAAUAAAGAAUAGUGCAAUAUGCAUUUUUAAUUUGUGCGUAAAAAAAUUCAAAGCAUGUUUGUGAAAAAAAAAAAAAAAAACAGACCUUGACUAAGUUUAUAGAUUCAUCAAUUGGCCUAACUUGAGACAGAUUGGAAAAAUCGUUCUACGAAGUACUUUUUAAACUUUACUUUUUAAUCUAUCUGAGCUUGAGAAGUGUUAAGUUCACGACAACAAUUCAAGAAACAUGGUCAAUAAACAAUCAAAUCAGAUUGUGAAAUAAUAAGUUACUCUAACACUGUAUUGUGAAAUCAUAAUGCAAACUUACUAAGUCUUAAACUUUUCAACAACCGGAUGAUGUAGGUUGAUGAGCAGCCUCGAACCUGACCAAUUGUUACAUCUAUUUGCGUUGUCAUUGACUACAAAAUAGAAGCAAAGAAUUCAAGGUAAAUAAAUGGUAAAUGAUAAAGCUACAAAGUAUUUUACCCAUAAUGUUACAUCAACUAUAUUCCCAAUGCUCUAAAUCUCUAUAUCGAGUUAUUACAUGAACUCGAUCACCCUAAAUCCGAGAAAGAAACCAAAAAAUAUAAAUAAAUCAAAAUGUAUACUAAUAAGUAACAUUGAUAAAUCAUAAAAGAAAUUACUACAAAUCUUAACUAACUUAUCUAACCUUUGCAUCACAAAUAAUGAGCUUCAUAUGUUGAUUCUCAUUACUACCAGUCACAAUUCAAGAAUCCAGUACUCCAAAUCCUAUUUUCCAAACGUCUAAAUCAUUUUUGAGAUACUUAAUGUAGUCAUAAUCCCUUGACAUUGAAAUUCAUAUAUAGAAAUACAAUAAUACAUCAUUUAAUUUUAUUCCCUUUGUUCAUUCUGAUAUCGAAAGAAGCUAACAUAUUUCUAUGUGAUCAAUUUUUGUAUCAUCAAAUUAACCUGAUCUUAAAUGUACAAAUUUCUAUCAUCAACUUUCUGGACCCCAAUGAUAUGAUCAAAACAAAUUUACACCAAUCAACUUUUUGCACGGCUCAAUGAUAUACGAAAGAAUAAAUAAAAUAUGAAAACUGUUACAGCUUUAGGAUUACUCACAAAAACUAAAAUAAUUGAAAUGCAUCAAUUAUUUUCAACUCCUGUACCAGAAGCUAAAAUAACAAUUGUGUCAAAACCUUACCAUCAGUUAAAAUUCAGUCAUCAUGACCUCUACUAUACUCCACAUAACAAAAGACGAUUUUUCUACAGCCAUGCAACAUAACAAAUUUUGGUACAUAAUCCAAUAACAAUUGGAAAAAAAAAAAAAAAACCCUUAAAAUGCAUAAUCAUGAAAAAAGGAAGAAAACCAUCUAUGAUGAAGCAAAAACUAAAACGGUGUCGAAAAAUGAAGCCCUUAAGCCAUAAAAAUCAGUCAACUCAAGUCAUGCAUGGUCUCAGAACCAUGAAAAAAGAUAGAAAAUGACCUUUUUUUUUUUUGUGGUGGCCGGGGUUUGAACUCCGGACCUUGCAUAUUUUAUGCAUUGUCCUACCAACUAAGCUAAGCUCACGAGGACGAAGAAAAUGACCUCUUAUGAAGAAGAAAGUGAAACAGUGUUCCCGACUGAACUUAGAUACCGUUUGGUCAAGGUUUUUUACAUUAUAAAAGUUACUUCAAAACAAAGUAAAAAUAAAGGCCUUUAUGAAAGAAACUAAAGUUAUUUGGUUUUUUUGUUUUGUUAGUUUUAAAGCUAUUUAAGUUUAAUGUUGUUUGGCAAAAUAUUGUACAAACUUUGAAUUUAUUAUUUUUUAUAUGGUGUCUGGGGUUCGAACUCCGGACUUGGCAUGUAUUUAUGCAUUGUUCCUAUCAACUGAGCUAAACUCAUGAGGACAAAACUUUGAAUUUAUUAUUAAUUAACAUAAUAAAUAAAUAAAAUGUUUAGAAUAAUUUAUGAAGGCUAAAAAUGUUAAAAAAAUAAAAGAUAUUUUUUUUACAAAUACGAUAUUUACUCAAUAACGUUUAUUUUGUGUAACAUGAAUACAAAUUAAUAUCAUCAUAUAAAUAACUUGUUAAAUAUUUGAAUAGGAGAAACAAUUUAAGGAGUCUGGAAUAAUAAUAUAAAUAAUAUCAAAAUAUUUGAUUUUUUCUAUUUCAAUUAUACUCUAUAACAAAUUUCGUUAUAAGAAUACCAUAUUUUUUGUGUCUUUCAAAAAGAUAAGAAUUUAUAUUAUAUGAUAUUAUAUUUGUUACAUUGUUGGUGUCAUGGAAACAGAUAUGUUUAAUUUUUUUGAACAUGAAAAUGAUAUGCAUAGUUUGUUACGAUAUAAAGGUGCAAUAUAUAUAUAUAUAUACACCUUUUUAGGCAUCUAUACCUUUUUUUGAAGAAAAGACAUCUACAAUUUUACUUUUAAUUAAAAUUUAAAUUUUAUAAAAAUAAUCAUACGCAUUAUGCAACGCUAAAAAAAAUUAUACACAUUAGCGUAACAAAAAAACAGACACACAUAAAGAAUUACUCUAAACGCUAAUGUGUAUGUGCGUAUAUAUUUGCGAGGUUGAAGAAAGAAAAUACAAAUAUUUGAUAUCAUUAAAUGACAGCGUGAAUAAAAAUAUUUGUGAAGUUGUGAUGAUUAAACGAUAUUGAAAUUAUAAGUGAUAAAAAGAUAAUAAAAUUCCUUUGAAAAAAAGGUAAUAAAAUUAAAUGGAACCUCCUUAAAAAAAAUUAAAUUGAACGCUUCAAAUUAAAUGGAAGAAAAAAAUAUAUUGAAGUAUAAUAUUAAAAAAUAAAAAAAAAGGUUCCCAACGUGAAUUGAAGAGAGAUGCUUGUGAAAUAAAUUGUCGAGAAGUAGUUUUUUGAAGAAGCAUUCAACAACUUUUGGUCAAAGUUCAUUGCAUUCAAUUUUAUGCAUUAAAAAAGGUACAUUUUUUAGAAAGUACUUAAUUGAUAUUGUAUUUGACCUAACUUCUCCUUAAAAAUAUAGGGAAGUUGAAAAAAAAAACCGGGUCAAACGGUAUCUUAAUUUCCCACAACGGCAGUGUAGAAACAACUGAAUUUGGGAGAAAAAAAUUGGAAAAUAGUUAAAAAUAAAAAAAAUUGAAAAAUAGUUAAAAAAAAUCGGUGAGGUAGCACCUAACCAAACAACACUAAAAAAAAUUAUAUGCAUCAGCGUAACAAAAAAACAGACAGACGGACAUAAAAUAUUACUCUAAACGUUAAUGUGUGUGUAUAUAUUCGCGAGGUUGAAGAAAGGAAAUAAAAAUAUUUGGUAUCAUUAAAUGACAGCGUGAAUAAAAAUAUUUGUGAGGUUGUGAUGAUUAAACAAUAUUGAAAUUAAAAUAAUUAAUAUUGUGUUUGACCCAACUUCUCCUUAAAAAUUUAGAGAAGUUGGAAAAAACUCGGGUCAAGCGAUACCUUAAUCUCCCACAACGGUAAGGUAGAAGCCACUGAAUUUGGGAGAAAAAAUUGGAAAAUAGUUAAAACUAAAAAAUAAAAAAAAUCGGUGAGGUAGCAUCCAACCAAACAACACCAAAAAAAAAUUAUAUGCAUUAUCGUAACAAAAAAAAUAGACAAACGGACAUAAAAUAUUACUCUAAACAUUAAUGUGUGUGUAUAUUCGCGAGGUUGAAGAAAGGAAAUAAAAAUAUUUGAUAUCAUUAAAUGACAACGUGAAUAAAAAUAUCUGUGAGGUUGUGAUGAUUAAACAAUAUUGAAAUUAAAAUAAUUGAUAUUGUGUUUGACCUAACUUCUCCUUAAAAAUUUAGAGAAUUUGGAAAAAAGCCGGGUCAAACGAUAUCUUAAUCUCCCACAACGGCAAUGUAGAAGCAACUGAAUUUGGGAGAAAAAAUUGAAAAAUAGUUAAAAACAUAAAAAUUGGAAAAUAGUUAAAAGUUAUUAAAAAUUAGAAAAUAAUUUAAAAAAUUGGUGAGGGGCAAAAUGGGAAAUUUGGCAUAAAAAAGAUGAGGUGGCAACAAACCAAACCCACCAAUUAGAAAAUUACUUAAAUGCCCAUUCCAGGGACAAAAUGGGAAUUUCAUAUGGCAUCAAUUUUAAGAGUAUAUAGAUGUCGCAUAUAAUAAGAGCAAAACAAUGAAUGAUGGUAGUAAUAUUUUUCUUUUGCAUUUUACUCCUGAAAAAUAUUAUAAUUUCCAAAUUAAAGACUCUCUUUGCAAUAUUUAGUUAUGUUCUUUCUCACUUCAUUUUCUUUUAUUGCAUACCUUAACACUUAACUAGCCCUAAAUCACAUUAUAAUUUUUUUGGUCGGUGGUAAGCACCACUGAAAUUCAACCACACAACUAUGAAUUCUCGAGUUUGAACUCAGAUAAAUGUGUACAACGUAACAAUUUUGACAUUACCAACUAAGAUAGAUUUUAUGGACAUUACAUUAUCUAUUUUAACUAUUAAAAAAAAAUCAGUAAAUGAUACGUGAUCGAAUUUCACACAUUAUUUUCAACAAUGAUACAUCGGCAUUCCAAUUUUUCAAACACCCAUUCAACAUAUAUUCUUUCUCUUUUUUUUUUUUUUUUCAUAUCAUAUCACCAAUUUAUUAUCACAUCACUUUUUUUCUCUCUCAAACCAUUUUCUUAAAAGGAAAAUAUUUCAUAGACACCCUCAUAAUCCUUCCACACCUAUUUGACACUCAUUGAAUAUUAUUUAAUAUAUAAAAAUAACUUUCUUUAUCAUUAAAAUACUAUUUUUUUCAUUCUUUUAAAAGUAAGUAAUUUUUUUUGAAACAAAAUAUAUUUAUUAUUUAUAAUAGUGGUGGUGGUGGGAGGUAGAGUAUAGUCGGAGUUCCUCCGCAUUGGUCGUCGACCGUCCACUAUCAAUCACCACCAAUAUAGAGGAUGAGUGUUCAAUGGAUAGGAGUGUCAAAUAGGUGUAUCUAUUUAACUGGUGUUUGUGUAUCUCUUUGUAAAAAUAUGAUCAGAUCACCCACGCUACUUAUAUCUAUGAGCUAAACCCAAUAGUAUUUGGCAUGAAAGAGUGUAUAUAUAUUGGGAAAACUCAAAUUCUUCAUAUAAAAUAUAUGAGUUUAUAAGCGAGACAUGCAUCAUCUUACAAACUAGUUUUAUAAGAAUGAGUUACGCCAAAUAUAAAAACCUUAUAUGUCCCCUUCAUUUUCUUUAUUGUUUUCCUAAGCCAAUACGACAUGUGAUAAAAACCAUAUAUAUAUAUAUAUAUAUAUAUAUAUAUAUAUAUAUCAAGUGAAAGGAGUAACUUAAAUGAGAGAUGAGAGGAUAUAAUAUCAGCCCUAUAUACCAAUUUUUUCACCAAUCUAUCUAUUUUACAUAUAAAAUUGAUUCGAUUUUGAUAUUAUUUGACGUUUAAUUUUUGUUAAUAGAGAUAUAUUAUUGAUAGAAAAAAUUAGGAAUGUAAUAAAAAAAAACAGUAAAUAACUUAAUUUGAAUAACCUUUUCAGAAAAGAAAAAAACUUAAUUUGUUAUCAAGACUUUAUUUCUUAGGGGACUAAAUAUUAACAAACAUCAUCAAUGAAUAAUAGAGUAAUUUGAUAGUUCUACUUUUCAUGUUCUUUAUACUAAAUCAUGUUCUAAAUUGCAGUUGUGAUACAAUGCAAGUCUUAAUAAUUUUAGAGAAAUGCAAACAAAUGCAACCGACAUAUGGCUACAUUUAUAGUUGCAAUGUCAUUGCAAAAACAUUUAAAACUAUAUAAACUAUCAUGCCUAAUACUACUAACUAGCUAUAAUUAAAGUUAACACACAUUAGAGUUUUAUGCAGCGGGAGCAUAGUCAUAACCACCGUCAUCGUCGUCAUCGCCUUCCCUGUAUAAAUUUCGAUCCCCGUUGGUAUAAUCUUCUUCAAUGCAAGAUACACACGUAUAACCGAACCAAUCACCGUCACCUUCACCAUUAUAUGCAUAUUGCUUGCACUUUGGAGCAAUGACCGUGGAAAUGAAUGUCAUUUUGGUUAUGUGGCUGGCUGGCUAUAUGGGAAUUGUGUGUCUUGAGUGGGCGUUGAAAAGAUGAAAAUGGAAAUUUUGUUAUAUGAGAUGCUAAGGUAGUUAUGUGAGUUGAGUUGAGAUAUUAAUUGGAGAGUUUAUGACUAUUAUAUAACAUGAAGGAUUUGUUGGAUUUUUCUUCCACAAGUAAACCACACAAGAAGUGUGUAUGUUUGCUUAAGGUGUGAGCAUGGCUCCUUGCUUGCAUGUGUAAUGGGAUCUUGUGCAGCCACAUUGGCAUUUGUCUUUACAAUUCAGCGUACAUGUUGGGAAAAGAAGAAAAGAAUCAAGAAUAAUGGGAAAAUAUAAUUUUUUUAGUGGAUGCAUAUAAUGGUUGGGACAUAUAAAGUGUUAGAUGUAGAAAGUGGAACAAGUUGAUUGACUCAUUUUGCUUGGAAUUUCUUUUGGUUAGUCAAUGCCAAUGACCUUUAACUUUUGUCUUUUGAUUAUAUUCUCUGUAAGCCAGCGAUGCGGCGACGGGUGUUAAUAAAUUUGCUUGGAUCAUAUUUAGCUUUUUGGGGAUAUUUUACAACUUGUUCAAACACUAGAAUAUAGAAGAUUUGUUUUUAGGAAUAGAAUAGAAGAUACUACAGUAGUAUUUUGAUUCCUUCAUUUUAGAAGUACGGGACCCUUGUGUCCUAGCUUGUUGAAUCGCCCAAGGGGCAAAAAUUGUCUAAUUGUUAGGUUAUGAGAGAAGUUAGGAGGAUCAUUCACAUUGAGUCAUGUCAUUUCAUUCAUUUGAUUAUACACUUCCUUAAAUGGAGCUAGUUGAAGCCUUUGUCGAACCAUUGACUCUCUACCACUUUGUGGUUAUGAGGGGAGCUCAUAAAAUAAGAUUAAAAACAACCACACAAGUGAGACAUCUGUAUUUUAACCUAAAAUAUUAAGUUGCUUGUUAAAAAAAAAAAAACUUAAAAUAUUAAGUCACUAAAUUUAAGGUUAAUAAAUGUUUACCCCGUCAGUUGAGGUUUGAGAUUCCCCCUUGUCAUAUCAAAGGUUCUUUGAUUUUGGAUCCCGAUGGCUUGUGAUUGUGGAAAAUGGAUUACGUGGCAUGCUGAUUGGUAAUUUAUUUAUUUUUUUGAUUUUUUUCAAUAUUAUGUUGCUUUUCUUUUAACUAAAACUAAUUUAAAUCACUAAAAUUAUUAAAAUUCAUAUUAUAAAAACAAAAACAUUAUUAAUUAUUUUUAGAUAAAUUAAAUCAUAUGUAAAAAUGAAAAGAAGUAAACGUGAAAUUUUCUUCAUCAUCUUCGUCAAAAUUUCUCAUCCCAAAAUUUCUAAAAUUCUUUACAUCAUCAUCAAGCAACAAAAAAAAUCUCUUAAUAUUCAUUCACUUUGAAAAUCACUCUCUCUGGAAUUGAAGAAUCAGAUUAGUUUCAAAAUCCCUUUAACUUUCUUGUUUUUUUAUAUCUAAACUUAAAUCCAAAAAAAAAAAAAUCAAAACUUGCAGAUUUGAAAAAUUCAUCCAUUUUUAUCUAUUCAUUGAGAGAAAGACGAAGACCAAGUAGAGUGGCGGUUCACCGGAGAAUAUAAAUAUUUCACUGUUGUAAUCAAAUCUCAUCUCAUCUCAUAACAUCUCAAUUAAAUGUGUUGAAUUCCAAACACAGAGAAAAAAAAAUUGAAGAAGAUGAAGCCACAUAAAAGAAAUAAGUCCCGUAUUCUCUUUUUAAUUUAAUUUUUAAUUUUCUUAUGGGCAUUUUUAUUUUCUUAUUGGCAUUUUAUGAGUCACAAUUUAUUUAAUAAUGCCCUAUCCUCACAAAAAAAAAAAAACAAAAAAACAAGUCAGCGUGCCACCUCAUUAAUUAAUGCACAGUCAGCAUGCCACAUAAAUUUAAGAUGUCAUUAGGGUCUAAAACUAAAGAAUCUUUAAAUGGUAAAGGAAAUCUCAAACUUUUUAUUUUACAAGGGGCGUAAAUUAAAAUCAACUCAAAUGACAGAGGAUAAACAUAUAUUAAUCCUUAAAUUUUUAGAUCCUCUCAUUUAUAUAUUGGUAAAAUUCACUUUUCUAUCUCAUGUGCGACUUCUAACUCGUCUUGCACUCACCACAACACAAGCAGGACAUUAAAACUCUUUUAAACGACAAAUAACUAAUAAACUAUUGCACAGGGCCUCCAAAUUUUGGGGCCUAAAAUUUCCAAAAAAAACAUUAAGUAGAAAUAUUUAAGAAUUUAAAUAUUAUUAAUUUACAAAUUUGAGUUUAAUUAUAUCAAUAAAUCUCAAAUUUUGAGCAUUAAGUCUAUAGUCUUCAUCUUCCGUCUUUUAUUUGAGUAGGAUAGAAUGAAAAUGUCGUUAAAAUCCCACACAUAUAAGUGAAUGAGUCAAAGUUUAAAUUCCUGGAUAAAGUAUCUAACCUAACAAUUUUAACGGUUUUAACAAUUGAGUUAAGACUUAUAAUCUCCCACCAUUUUUUAAGAAGCAAAACUCAACACUAAAAAAUGGCUAAAGGGUAAAAUGAGAGAACCAAGAAUAAGCUGCAUUUUGGAGCUUCAAAGUUGGAAAACGGCACUUUAACUCACUCUCACAGGUUUCUUUUCUCUAAGGUUUUUCUUUGUAGCGCGUAAAAUAAGAACAAAACGAUGAUUGUAAUGAUGACAUUUUUUUCUUUGCACUUUGGACCUCAAAUUUGUUAUAAUAUUUCAAGUGAAGCACUAGCACUUAUUGCAAUAUUUAUUUAUGCUAUUUCCUCCUUCAUAAUUCAUUUUCUUUUAUUGUUUUACUAAACACUUAAUCAUCCCAAAAUUACAUUAAUCUAUUUUAAUAUGUAUCUAGGAUAGACAAUGAAGAUGUAUACAAAGUAUGGUAAUAAGAGAAAAAAGACGAAUCAAUAGGGUUAGAUAUAUAAUAACUAGUUUUGAGUUUUUUUAAUGAUGUUUGUGUUGAUAUUCUAAAAUAGAGAUUAAAAUAUUUUAUAAUUAUCCCCAUGAGCUUAGCUCAGUUGAUAAUGAUAUUGCAUAUUAUAUACAAGGGCCGAGGUUCGAACCCCGGACACCCCACUUAUCCACAACAUCUAUAGUAAAGGUUGAAACUAUCACUAUAAGCACAUUUAUAUCUUUUUGGAAGAGAUGAUGCUCAGUUCACCAUAGAGAAUGUGAAUCGGAACUUGUGUAAGCCCCUUCAAAUGGUUAUGUACCAUUGACACUGAGCCCCCAAUAGGAGUACGAGCAACUCUUGCAUAGGAAAAACCCCAAAUAAAAUAUAUUUGGACACACAAAUGAUAAUAAUUAAAAGAGAAAUGAUAUUAAGUGAUGUGGUUAAAGUAUUUAUCUUUUAGAUUAUUUUUGUUUGUAUGUGUGAGAUACAGUUUCUUAACGGAUAAGAAGAAAUGGUCAUUUUUUAUGAAGAGAAAUGCUAACUUCACAGGUUAAAAAGUUAAAGAUAUAAUUACUUUUUUGAAAAUUGUGUAUUCAACAUUAUAAAAGUUUAAACAUUUAUUCUAUCAAUACAAAAUUUAUUGCUUAUUUCUUUUUAUAGCUCCUUUACUUGUGCCCUAAUGGUACACGUUAGCAUGAUCCUUUUAUGAAAUGUAAACACAAUUACAAUAUCAUUGCACCACAAUUACAAUAUCAUUGCAAGACCUUUAAAACAAUAAAACUACCAUGAUGCCUAAUAGUAACUAGUUAGUGACUAAUGUAAGUUAACACAUUAGAGUUUUAUGCAGCGGGAGCAUAGUCAUAACCACCGUCAUCGUCGUCAUCGCCUUCCCAAUAAGAAUCAUGAUCCGUGUUAUGAUAAUCUUCUUCAAUACAAGAUACAGAUGUACAACCAAACCAAUCAACUUCACCUUCACCAUAUGCAUGCUGCUUGCAGUUUAGAGCAAUGACCAUGGAAAUGAAUACCAUUAGUUAUAUUAUAUGCUAAGGUAGUUGUGUGAGUUGAGUUGUGUUUAUUUGAGUUACCAUUGGAGAGUUUGUGUGUUAUAUAUAUAACUAGAAGAUAAGUUGUUGGAGUUGUUCUAACACAAGCAAACCACACAAGAAGUGUGUAUGUUUGCUUAAAGGAAUGAGCAUGGCUACGUGCCUGCAUGUGUAAUGGCAUAUUGGGCAGCCACAUUGGCAAUUGUCUUUACAAUUCAGCUUAAAUGUUGGAAAUAGCAGCAAAGAAUCAAGAAUAUUGACAAAAUAGAAUGUUUGAGUGGAUGCAUAUAAUGGAUGUAUAGAACAUAUAAAGUGGAACACGCGACAAGUUGAUUCGAUUCAUUUUUGCUAUGAAUAUUUAUUGGUUAUUCAAAGGCCUUUAUAUAUGUUUUGUUGUUUCUUCUGUUUUUGGUUUGUAAAUGUUGUCAUUUCAUGAUAUUCUUUGGACGCGGCGACGAGAGUAAUAAUUUUUUCUGGAUCAUAUUUAAUUUUUUGGGCAUAUUACAACUUGUUGAAACACUAUAUUGUGGGUCCAAGUUUUAUACAGUAGUAUUUUUGUUCCUUCAUUUUAAAGGUACGGGACCCUUAUUAUGACUUUUAUCAAAAAAUAUUGGACCAUAAUAGAAAUUCGGAUGAUUAUUCAUUUUUAGUCAAAUUAUUUUAUUCAUCUGAUUAUAUUCUACCUUAAUCGGUUUUCUUUUUUUAUUCAUGUACUCUUGCAUGGCCGUUAGUCUGUUUCCACCGUAUCAGUAGGACAUACCAUCUGAUCAUUCUUAUCAAGAAGAGUUUUGAUACAAAGAGUUGGUCGAACUCUUUGUCAAACCAUCGACUCUGAUAUUAUGGUUGGAUUAAUGAGAAGAGUCUAGAAGAUUGGACCAAAAGCAACCGCACAAAUGAGACACUCACAUCUUAUUUCAAAAUCUUAAGUUAUUGAAUUAUAGAUCUUCUCAUUUAUAUAUUGAUCAACAAUUAUUUUUCAUCUCAUGUGAGACUUUAAACUGAUCACGCACUUGCCACAAUCCAAACAACACAUUAACCUCUUUUAAACAACAAAUAAUUUAUAACAUGUGAGUUUAUAGUUGACAGUGGAUAAACAAAGACGGAGAGAAGCAAGUAGAACAAUGGCUACAGCCUACAACUGCAAUCUUAGCCUAAUCUUUCACCAUUUUCUUGGGUAGACAAACAAAUUGAAAUAGCCAUUGGAAACUCAAUACACAUAAAAAUAAAGAAGUUGGAAUUUGAACCUCGGUUACGACGUUCGACCUAACAAUUUUGACUUUUUUUACCAAUUGAACUAUAAUUUGUGGACUUUCAUCAUUUUUGACAAACCAAAACUAAAGACUAGAAAAUGGCUAAACGGUAAUGAGAGAACGUAGGAGAAGUUGCUUUUUGUAGCUUUGAAGUUGGAAGACGGCACUUUAACUGACACUCACUGCUUUCUUUUCUCACUCAUAUUUUUUCUUCAAAAACAAUGAUGGUAGUGACAUUUUUCCUUUCACCUUGGCCCUUAACUUUAUUAUAAUUUUCCAGGUGAAGCACCCUUCCCAAAAUUAUAUUAGUCUAUUUUAAUUGUAAAAAAUUCUGCAAAUGGCAUGUGGUGGAAUUUCACACAUAUUUUUAUUGCCAUUUAUCGGUGUGUUGGCUCCAAUAUAGUUUUAGACUCGUUCGGUAAUUGAUUCGUUGAAGUUAGUUCGUGAACUAAAUGACCUAAACACAAGUUAAAAAUUAAGUCUAUUAACUAGAUGAAUAUGAGCAAUGAAUGUUCGACUUGUUUAUUCAGAAGUUGGUUUGAUUGUUUGUGAUAUUUAAAAAUAUUUAUUUUAAGUAAAAUUUAUAUACGUAUCAAAUAUCAAUACACCGUGAAUACAUACUCUACAAGUAUCAUAAUUAUUUUUUAAAAUAUAUUCUGCCAUAUAUUUAUAUAUGAUACUUCAAAGAAAGUUGCGGAUACAUAUUUGAAUAUGUAUCUAGGAUAGUUUUUUUCUACAUUACCCCUUGAUGAAUUAGUAGUAAUUGACCACUAUCAAAGAAAAAUCUUUUCUUCAUCUUUACGAUCUUACAAUCAGUUACCAUUUUAAUCUCAAGAAUACCAAACUUCUUCGUCUCCUUCAUUCAACAUGUAAUACCCAUCUCAUUUAUUCCAGAUCGAAACAUACUUGUCAUUAGGAGCAAAUUACCCUCAAUUCAUCAACGGGUAAUGUAGGCGUCACCCAGGGACGGAGCCAAGAAUUAAGCUUGGGGGGGACUAAGUUGAAACUGUGAUUUAGUGAAGAAAAUAAAAUGAAUGUUUAAAUGUACAAUAUUUACAAGAUAUUUAAGAAAUUAUUAGAUAUAUUCAAAAUUAUAAGAAAUUCAAGGAUAUAAGAAAGAUGAGAGUGUCUUUAGGCUUGUCUGAGAAUGAAAUGAAAUCGCGACCAACGAAUCGUUGGUAGUGCGCAACCAAAAUUGCAAUGAGGAAUCAUAUAUUGGGAUUCUAGUUAAUGAUUAAUUAGGGUUCUUCUGUAAAUUUCGGACAGAACCUCCCUUUCUUUUUCGCUAAAAAUUCUAGUUAAGUGGCAAUUAAGACUAGAAACUUAGGUGUUUAAAAUCAAUAUAUUGAGCAAAAGGAAGUACCAUUAUACAAUAUCAUAUAUAGCUCAACAAAAAUAUAUAUAGACCAACAAUAUUUGUAUACUAGUAUAAUUUUAUUUUUUUUAAAGUUCAGGGGGACCGUGGCCUCUGUUGGUCCCCCUUCUAGCUCCAUCUUUGGUGUCACGAAUAGAUUUUUUUUUACAAUCAUUUACCAUUUUCAUAUCAAGAACAUCAAACUUCUUUGUUACCUUCAUUUAACAUGUGAUUUCCAUCUCCUUUGUUUGAUAAUUGAAUCUUACCUUUAAAACUAUAUCAUGCUAUGCUAAGAAACAUGGCAUAGAAAUUCAUGGAUGAAGAGAUAAAAACUUAAAACUCUUUUAUAUUUGAUAAAAGUAAAAUGUUACAAAUGAAAGGGAAAAGGAAAAAAAAAAAAAAAAAAAAAAGUAGUACCGUUAAUGACAUCUAGCCUAUUUAUAAGCAAUAACAAACUAAUAGUUAAGUACUAAUUUCGAACUAUAUUAAUCGACUACCAACUAUAUCUUUAAUAUGCUAUAAAGCUAACUAGAAGACUAAUGUAAGUUAACACAUUAGAGUUUUAGGCAGCGGGAGCAUAGUCAUAACCACCGUCGUCGUCGUCGUCAUCGUCGUCGCCUUCCUUGCAUGAGUCUCGAUCUCCAUUGCGGUAAUCUUCUUCAAUGCAAGAUACACUUGUAUAAUCAAACCAAUUACCUUCACCAUAUACAUGUUGCUUGCACUUUAGAGCAAUGACCAUCAAAAUGGAUGCCAUUUUAGUUAUAUGAGAUGCUAACGUAAUUGUGUGAGUUGAGUUGUGUUUGAGUUAGAAUUGGAGAGUUUGUGUGUUAUAUAUAACAUGAGAAAAGUGUUGAGUUAUUGUGCCACAAGUAAACCACACAAGAAGUGUGUAUGUUUGCUUAAGGUGUGAGCAUGGCUCCUUGCUUCCAUGUGUAAUGGGAUCUUGUGCAGCAUCAUUGGCAUUUCUCUUUACAAUUCAGCUUACACGUUGAUAAAAGCAACAAAGAAUCAAGAAUGACUAAAUAGAAUGUUGGAUGUAGAAAGUGGAAGGACAAGUUGAUUGAUUCAUUUUGCUAUGAAUUUUUAUUGGUUAGUUUGCAUAUGUUUUGUUUUGUUAUUUGGAAAUGUUGUCAUUUGAUGAAUUCUUUGGAAGCCAAUCACGCGGCGGCGAGAGUAAUAAUUUUGCUUGGAUCAUGUUGAACUUUUUGGGAUAUUACAACUUGUUGAAACACUAUAUUGUGGGUCCCAGUUUUAUACAGUAGUAUUUUUGUUCCUUCAUUUUGAAGGUGCCAACCCUUGUGUCCUAGCUUAUUAAUUCAUCCAAGUCGCAAUAUUUAUCAAAAUAUUGGACCAUAAUGUAAGUUCGGAUGACUUCGAGUCAAAUCAUUUUAUUAUCGAUUUUCUUUUUUUAUUCAUGUACUCUUGCAUGGUCGUUUCCACUAUAUCAAUGAGACAUCACUUCUCAUCGUUAUUAUCAAGAAGAGUUUCGAUAGAAGGAGUUUGUCAGAGUUUGUCGAACCCUAGACAUUGAAAUUGGUGUUGGAUCAAUGAGAAGAGUUUAGGCAAUUGAACCAAAAGUAAUUGAAUAAAUGAGACACUCAUAUCUUAUCCUAAAAUCUUAAGUUAUUAAAUUAUAGAUCCUCUCGUUUAUAUAUUGGUCAACACUUUCUUUUUUAUCUCAUGUGAGACUUUUAAUUGACCUCGCAUUUGCCACAAUACAAACAACACAUUAAACCUCUUUUAAACAACAAAUAUUUGAUAAACUAAUUGAUAAUAUGUGAGUUUAGAGCUGAUAGUGGCCGGAUAAACAAAGAUGGCAAGAGAAGCAAGUAGAACAAUGGCUACAACUGCAAUCUUGACCUUUCUUCUAUAAUCUUAAUCUUUCACACAAUAUACACAAAAGUGAAGAAGUUGGUGUUCAAGCCUCAUUCAUGACAUUCGACCUAACAAUUCUGAGACAUCUUUUUUUUUUUUUCGGUGGUGGACGGGAUUUAAACCCCAGACCUUGCAUAUAUUAUAUAUUGUCCUUACCAACUGAGCUAUGCUCACGAGAACGAAGAUGACAUCUUAAUUAACGUUCACUACUUUCUCUUCUCACUCAUAUUUUUUUCUUUGCACUUUGGGCCCUUAAAUUUAUUAUAAUUUUCCAGGUGAAGCAUCCUUUGCAAUAUUUAUGCGUUUUCCCCCUUUUUAAUUCAUUUUCUUUUAUUAGUCUAUUUUAAUUAUUAAAAAAAUCUGCAAAUGACAUGUGGUGGAAAUCCACACAUAUUUUUUUACCAUUUUUCAGUGUGUUGGCUCUAAUGUAAUUGGCUCUAAUAUAAUUUGAGAAGCGUUCGGUAAUUAAUUUGUUGAACGUUCGUGAACUAAAUAACCUAAACACAAGUUGAAAACUAAGUCUAUAAUUAACUAAAUGAAAUAAACGUGAGCUAUGAAUGUUCGACUUGUUUAUUCAUAAGUUGGUUUGAUUGUUUGUGAUACUAACAAAAUAUUUAUAUUUAAAUUUAUAUACGUAUCAAAUGUCAAUACAUCGUGGAUAAUCGCGGAUACAUGCUCUACAAGUAUCGUAAUUAUUUUUAUUCAGAAAAAAGUAUAAUUAUUUUUUAAAAUAUAUUCUACUAGAUACAUAUAUCUGAUACUUCAAAGAAAGUUGUGGAUACAUAUUUUAAUAUGUAUCUCAGAUGGUUUUUUUUAAAGAAAGUCGUAAAUUACUCUCAAUUCAUUAAGGAGUAAUGUAGGCGUCACCGAUAAAGUUUUUUUUUACAAUCAAUUACCAUUUAUUUUCAUCUCAAGAACGUCAAACUUCUUCUUUACCUUCAUUCAACAUGUGAUCACUGUCUCUUUUGUUUCAUGUGAUCAACUCAUGCAAAUUUAUUUAUUUUUAAAUUGUGAUCAUUAUAAUUAUAUAUUAUUGAAGAAUCAUCGAUGGAUCUUCUUCACAAGUAAUAUGGAGUACAUGAUUUUUAUUUAAAAACUUUCUUAAUGUAUUUGGCCCGUAUCAUAUGUUGAAUUUUUAAAAUAACAAUCAUCAUACAUGUAUAAUAGAGUAAUUUGAUAGUGGGAUACCCUUUAAUACAAAUAAGUAAUCCAUAUGUAUGCCAAAGAAUGAAACAAAAAUAUACCACGCUCUUGUUCUGCUUUACAGCAAAAGGACCCGCACUCUUUUUUCAUUUAUAUAUCAUCUCCGUUUAAUUUCUUUUAAUACUAAUCACGAUAUUGAUAUAACUCAAAUCUUGAUACAAUGAUAUUGUAAAAAAAUGCAAACAAAUACAGCUGAUACGGCUACAAUUACAGUUACAAUGUCAUUGCAAGACCUUUAAAACCAUUAAAACUAACUAGCUAGUGUGACAUUAGAGUUUUAUGCAGCGGGAGCAUAGUCAUAACCACCGUCAUCGUCAUCAUCACCUUCCUGGUAAGAAUCUCGGUCUCCGUUAUGAUAAUCUUCUUCAAUGCAAGAUACACUUGUAUAAUCAAACCAAUUACCUUCACCAUAUGCAUGUUGCUUGCAGUUUAGAGCAAUGACCAUGGAAAUGGAUGCCAUUUUAGUUAUAUGAGAUGCUAAUGUAAUUGUGUGAGUUGAGCUGUGUUUGAGUUAGGAUUGGAGAGUUUGUGUGUUAUAUAUAACAAAAAGAGUUGUUGUUGGAGUUGUUCUAACACAAGCAAACCACACAAGAAGUGUGUAUGUUUGCUUAAGGUGUGAGCAUACCUCAGUGCCUGCAUGUGUAAUAGAAUCUUGUGCAGCCACAUUGGCAAUUGUCUUUACAUUCAGCAUACACGUUGGAAAUAGCAGCUAAGAAUCAAGAAUAUUGACAAAAUAGAAUGUUUGAGUGGAUGCACAAUGGUUGGGACAUAUAAAGUGUUGGAUGUAGAUAGUGGAACAAGUUGAUCGAUUCAUUUAGCUAAGACUUGUUAGUCAAUGGCCUUUUUCGAAAUGUUGUC
rnacentral:lncRNA from 1 species